CCCGGAUCAUGUCUCUUUUAUUCCCCAUAUCCAGUCAAUCUCCAGAUCAUGACACUUUAAAAUUAAAGGAACACUCCUUCCACCAUAACCACUACAGUGUGUUCUGGUGGUUAGGGUGCCGGGAGUGCCUCGGCGCUAUCUCUUACUGUAAGCACUCAAACGGUCUGCUAAUGGUAUGACAAUUUCCCUGGGCAUCUCCUUCUACCUUCAUUAGAGCUGGAAGCUCCUGCAAGGAGCUACUAUUAGCUCUUCAGAACUAUACUCUGGUAUGCAGGCAGAGAUCAGUGUCGAGAUCAGUGUCUGAAAGCAUUAGGCUUAGUUCAAUGCAGAGAGCUUUCAUGACU